UUCUGAGUUAGCGGAGUGUGUAACCUGAAGCCUCUGUAACCUGAAGCGUAUGUAACCCGAUGUACCACUGUAGUGCUUCUGUAGUGCUCUUGAUCAUCAUGGAUAUCAGUCAAUGAAAGAAGUAUCCUCCACAGAGUAUAGCCAUGGCUCUUGCCACCUUUUUUUAUAAUUUAUCAGACUAGAGGAAUAUUGGCUAGUUUUUCUACAGUUUAGUGGCCAAGGCCAUUUCUGCACAAAUCCCUUGUGUCGCCUGGAUUUCCCCAAAUCUGUCCCUAUGGCCAGCUGUUCCAGGAGUUUCAAAUGGAGAUGAAUGCUCCUAAAACUCCAGAGUAAAGUUCUGAAUGUUCAUAAUUUUUUCUACUGCUAGAAUUCCUUUUCAUUCCAUGGCUGAAUCCUCACUCUUAAAGCAUUUUAAAAGUGGGGCUGCGUAUAAACACUACUUCAAAGGCAACAUUUAUUUAUCACUAAUCUCCCUUAACAUGCUUCAGCUGCAGGAAACCAGCAUUUCUGAGGGGUCUGUUGGAAUACUUCCUUUCCCUUGAAUGCUAUAAAUCAUUCCCUUCGAGUGAUGUUUAACUAAUACUCUUUAUUAGCGAUAAAUGAGUAGAUAGCCAAAACCUGAUUACAGCAGAAAUGCUCCCUCUCCCUCUCCGCCCUCCUUUUGACAGUUCUCAUUUCAAAGCAGAGAACCCAAGGCUAUGUUUAUUUACUACUUUGAGCACGAAUCUAUUCCCAGCAGAUGACAAUGGAGGCUAACAUCCUGCCUUAAUGAAAAUUUGCAUGGCAUAGUUUCUUUUCACUUUACCUUAUUAAUCGCCCUCCUGGAUGUUCAGUUUGUUGCUGUUUUCCAAUGCACACAUCAUUACUAAUCAAACAGGUUAUGCCUCUCAAGUAUACUCAGGGCUAUGUCUCCAAACAAGUAAGCCUGUGCUGAAUGUGUAAAAAGGGCAUGCACCCAGCUAUAAAAUCCAAGUGGUUAGAGUCACAUUGGCAGUAUAAAGCCAACACAAACAUUCACUGCUUUUAAAAACUGACACAAAGGCAAAAUGAUCAUUUGUCUGGAAGCCACCCUGAGUGGCUGGGGGCAACCCAGUCAGAUGGGCGGUGUACAAAUAAUAAAGUUGUUGUUGUUGCCUGUGUUACACAUUUUGCAGCAAUAAACACAGCAAACACAGAUUUGCCAUGGUGGCAAAUGCCACCUUUUAAUUGAUUGCCAGAUCUCACUGUGUGAGCUGCAGGCUGCUAUAGACCUACAGGAAGUCCAAUGAGAUGUGUUAUAAUGAGGUUAACUGUGUUCUCUCCUUCCUUGGAUGCUAUUUGGGAGAGCACGCAUUCUCGCUCAGACCUCAACAUAAAAAGUUGAAAGUGCAGUAUUUUCCUUAAGAUCACAGUUCUCCAUUGAUUUCGAGAUACUUCCGUUAUUCUGUGUGUCUCUUAACCCACAACUAUGGAAUAUUAACAACAAUAUAUCAACUCCUAUUCCUCCUCUCAUGCCAUGCACUGUAACAUUUGCACUGCUGCAACAGAGCAAUAUGCCUUAUCAUAGAGAAUAUUAGUAGCUAUUGGUCAUGACAGGGAAAUAGGAUCCCCCCAAUCAGAGGUAGUAGGCCUUUGUUUUCAAGAAGCUGGUGACAAACAAGGAACAUAGGAACAUAUGCCUGAAUGUAUCCUUUCAACUCAACAGCUCAGGGAAGUUACAUAGCUUUAAAAAUCAUAUAAAAUCAACUCCUUUGCCAGUUUCCUCCAUUCCAACACUAUUUUGCCCUUGAAAAAGGGACUCCAGGAAGUGCCCAGAGAUGACAAUUGCUGAGCUGAUUGUUCGCCAAGGAAAGCCUAAUCCCACCACCAGACUUGCCUAGGGGUCCAGACAUGUAACGGUAGUUCUACAGUGGUGCCUCGCAAGACGAAAUUAAUUCGUUCCGCGAGUUUUGUCGUCUUGCGAUUUUUUUCGUCUUGCGAAGCACGGUGCCAGGAAAAUUUUGGAAAAGCUUCAAAAAUCACCAAAGUCUUUAAAAACCUCAAAAAAGGCUACCACACCGCGUUCUAUGAGUUGCUCCUCGAAGUCAAGUCGCAACUGUAUUAACGGUGUUAAGAAAAAGGAAACAAACUUGCAAGACGUUUCCAUCUUGCGAAGCAAGCCCAUAGGGAAAAUCGUCUUGCAAAGCAGCUCAAAAAACCCUUUCGUCUAGCGAGUUUUUUGUCUUGCAAGGCAUUCGUCUUGCGAGGUACCACUGUAUUGUACUUUGGGUGGUGGGACUUCAGAGGUGUUUGCCUAUGCUAAUCUUAUACCUGGGUCUUGCCCUGACAUGUCUGCUUAUGCUAAUCUUGUACCAAAGACUUGUCUGGACCUGUUUGCCAAGGUUGAACUUUCUACCCCUCCCCUUUGAUGACAUGUCAGUGAUGUAAACAUGAUGUAUCAAUGAUUCUGCACAAACUGUAUUCUGGGAUAUUGUGGGAAGUUUUAAAAGUCAAUGUCGCCCCAUGCUCUGGGUUCUUACUGCUGUUGGAACCUGUUGCACAACAAUAAAGGAUCUAAGUCUACUGACUGCUGUUUUGCUCCAAAUUGCCUGGCUGGAAUGUCCUUCUUUUACUGGCUGCAUGGACCCAUGGGGGAUUUGUACCCUGAUGAGCUGUGCUGUUGAGUAGUCUCUCAACCCAGAAUUUUCUUUAACAGAGACAAGGGUCUCUUCUGGAGAUGCUGGGAGUUGAACUUGGAAUCUUUUGCAUGGAAAACAGAUGCUCUGACUUUGAGCUACAACAUUGCCUUUAUGCCUUGCCUGGAGUUUCCAAAGGUAUCUUGCAGUUUACUGUUGGAAACAGGAUGCUAAUUUGGUUGGCCUUGGCUUGAUCUAAUGAAACAUCUAUUCUCCUGCCUUCCUCUGAGUUCCUAUUUGCUGUCAUUGCAAGUCCUAAUAGCACACGUAAUUCGGAUAUUUAAUGGGCUAAAUAGAAAUAUACUUGGCUCACUAAUGUAGGACAUCAGUGGGCUUUAUAACAGUUUGGGGUUUCUCAUUUGUCUUUGCUUGAAAUGAGAAACUGAAGACACUUUAUAUUUUUGUGGGUCUAUCUGAAAAUUUCCCUGAGCACUGUUUGGUGGCUUCUGCUACUGCUUUUACAUCUUUGUUGUCUGUAUUUGCUUGUAAAUCUUUCCAUUUUACAGGCUAGGGAUAAUUUAAGCCUGAAAAAGAAUAUCUGAAAAUAUAUUACUUUUAAAUAGUAAGAUUCAUCACAUCUAAGCCUCGAUGCCCGAUCAUCAAAAAGACCCGCUUUUAUUUCUGAAAAGAUCCAUUCUGUCAGAGUAAACAGAAUGCAUUAUUCCCCUUUAAUAACCAUUUUUAAGCAUGCUUCUGUAUUACUUUUCUUCCACAGCUGUAUUGCAAUAAGCCUUAGAGUAAUUGCCAGUUCUCUUCUCUAAUAGGUUCAUUAUUCUUUUGCCAUAAUUGCAGCCAUUAAACGACCAAUUGUUAAAUUUCCACUCCUACAUUUACUUAGCACUCCAUUUUAUAAUAGGGUAUAUCAUUAUGGUACCCCAGUGGCCACAGCAAUUGUUCAAAGCGUUUCUGAAAAGUCAAUGAGAUCCUUUUGAAAUACGUCAGGAUUUCUGAUUUCCAAGUAAUCCGUCUCUACUCUUCCCUCUCCCCUUCUCUGUAUAGUUGUCUUUUUUUAGCCUUUCCUAAGAUAGCAACUGUAUUUAGGCAGUUUUUCUGAAAGCAAAGGAAGCUGACCUAUUCAGGAAGAUAUAAUGGUGUGAUUCCCAUAUAUCUCAAGCACUAGUUCCUUACCUUUAGGUAAUGAUUCAUACAUAACAAGGUGAUGGAGCAAAGAUUUAACCAAAGAAAUUAACACUUAUGGCUUAAUGGCUUUUUGAGGGCUUUGAUUUAUCUUUUCCCAUGUUAAAUUUGCUGGGCUUUCAUCUGCACAGUAAGAGUGAUCUUGCUACUGGCAUUAGUUACAGUCAUGGCAACAAAAUGAUCCAUUUUAUGACUCUUGCAAUGUUGUUCAAAAUUCUGAGACAAGCCAAAUCGCUUAUGUCAGGAUUGGUGCACGUUUGUUGCUUUAGAGUAGUAGAUUUUCGAGCAUAUCAGUAACAGAAAUAUUUUAAGGAAGGCAUAAAUACACUUUAGAUGAACAUUUUGUUUAGAGCUAUUAGCAUAGCAUUUCUUUGUUUUGCAUAGCAGGGAGUGUUUCUCUGUUAGCAACUUCAGCUGUAUAUAAUAUAUUAGCAUUACACUUUUGGGGGGCAAGGCACAGUAUCUUAUCUGUACACUUGGUGGCUUUGUGGCACAUUUCUUGACCUAGCAUGUUUACUGUGACUGGGAUUUGAGUAGUAUUUUGGUCAAAAAUUCUGUUAUCAUUUACAUGUAUUAUAUCUGAUGGACUACACCCUCUGUGUAAGCUUUUAAAUGGGUUUGAUAUGAUGUGCUAUGUUAUAUCUACAUUCUGCUUAUUAAUGUGAUGACAUUUUAGGUUCUAGUAUGAAUAAACCUGACCCAACUAUUAUC